rnacentral:rRNA from 1 species
CGGUCAACGUCGAACCUUUGAACCUGCUCACUCCUGGAGGAUACCUCUCCCGCUGCAUACCAUUUUUGGACGCCUAAGCGUGCACUCGAGGGACCUGACAACUGGGCAGCAGUGCGUAUGCCUAACGAGGUGAGCCUGACAACUGGGCAGCAGUACGCGCGCGGCCAAGGUCGAAGAAAGUAGGUAGGUACAGCUGCCGCGAGGGAGGGAGGCGCAGGCGCAGGCGUAGGCGUACGUAUGUAUAUGCUCACUGGACCCCUACCUUGCCUGGCGUAGAAGUGAGUGGCUCGGUGUGCGUACAGUACCUGGGCAAGGUGCCGUAUGAGUAGCGCCGCCGGUAGGAGCACGACAAGGAGUAGAAGCAGCGGAAGGGCGAGUCGAAGGAGGCGAUGAUGAAGUCGUGGUCGCAGCGGCUCCACGGGCGCGGCUCCCCGCAGCCGUGCCUCGACGACCCGAGCGACGGCCAGUGCCACAUGGCGUGCCUCCUGGUGCAGCCCCACGACCUCACGCGCCACACGGACCGGCCCGAGGUCCUGCCCCUCGUCCGCUCCAAGGACGGGACGACGCCGGUGCCCAAGGUGCGGCCCACGUAGUCGCGCACCGACCGCAGGGCGGGGUGGACGGGCGAGACGGCCCAGUGGCAGCAGCCGUUCGAAGGGCUGCGCGAAUGUAGCUGCUCAGAGGGAGGGUGUGGCGUCCUCGGGCGCUUAAUGCGGCCCUUGGACGGCCGCUCACACGACUACGAGCCCCAAAGUCUGGUCCGGUGCGAGCCGCGCCACUGGCACCGGAGACUACCUCUCCGGCGAGGCGGGAACGUUGCCGUCGCCACGACCACUAACUAUAAGGCCGCAGUUCAGUUCCUACCACCGCGCUGCUCAGGUUCAGAGGCCCGUACAAGUUCUCCGACACCUCGAAGCCCUCCGUUCUUGGCAGCCGCAGGUGAUGCCGAACGAGGCCGCCGUCACCGUUGCCUUGUCCGUCGUCUACAUCUCGACCAUCGUAGUGGACACGACACGUACGUUGGGGCUCUCGAGGCAACAUCCACUUCGUAUCUCGGCCUUUAACAGUGGCCUACACGGCGGGUCUCUAGUUGAGGUUGCGGGUUCGAGACGUAUAUAAACGUACGACCAUACCCUGUAUCUAUAAGAAUCUAAAAGUAAUUUUUUUACUAUAAGAGGUCGGAUCCUUAAUCAUCAAGGUACGCACAUACUAGCAAAAUGAGUGCAGUAAAAAUUCUGUGCAGCGAAUCGCCGAUUCAGUAAAAGGUUGCGGAGACGAUACACCUCCUUAACCGAAAUGGUUAGUCCACCGAGCUCGAGUCGUAUACACCGGUCCACCACCUCAUAAAGCCUAAGGACAAUAGAGUAAUAAUAGGUACGUAAAACAUUAGAUAGAUUACACUGGGUAGUUGCAAAAAAUAGAAGAUUUACUUUACAACAGUUUUAUUAAAAAUGUUGUUUAGGUGUUUCUCAGUUUAUAGAAUAAAAUAAUAAAAAUUAGUUUAAACAAGUUAAUAAAAUCACCGUAAGCUGUUAAUAAAAAAUGAAUUGAAGUUUUAAUAAAGUCACCAAACUUAACCAGGUUUCUACACAACAACCGUGUAAAGAUUUUACCUGGAGCCUACAAUGCUGUUCGCGUUUGUUGUUAGGUAGAACUAUCAGAUUGUGUAAACGUUAUUCUGGAGUAUAAAGUAGUUUCAGUUUUGUAGCAUUACUUUGGAGUCACUCUUUACCUCAUGUACAACGUAAACUAAUUUAUAUUCCAAGUAAAACGUUUUACAUGAGCAUACAUAGAGUCAGAACAGGUAGUAAAGGUGUAGGUUCCCUGUUUUUAGUACCCCACGUACUCACGUGUCUAGACAGUAAA